CCUGCCGGACCUGACUGCUAUCGGAUUGAUACUAAGCCAUGCGAGUCUUUGUAGUAAUACAAGGCAGACGGCUCAGUAACACGUAGUCAACCUACCCUAUGGACAAGAAUAAUCUCGGGAAACUGGGCAUAAUUCUUGAUAGAUCAUAAUGCCUGGAAUGGUUUAUGGUUAAAAUGAUUCGUCGCCAUAGGAUGGGACUGCGGCCUAUCAGCUUGUUGGUGAGGUAAUGGCCCACCAAGGCGAUUACAGGUACGGGCUCUGAGAGGAGAAGCCCGGAGAUGGGUACUGAGACACGGACCCAGGCCCUAUGGGGCGCGGCAGGCGAGAAAACUUUGCAAUGUGCGAAAGCACGACAAGGUUAAUCCGAGUGAUUUCUGCUAAAGAAAUCUUUUGCCAGUCAUAAAACCACUGGUGAAUAAGGGGUGGGCAAGUUCUGGUGUCAGCCGCCGCGGUAAAACCAGCACCUCAAGUGGUCAGGAUGAUUAUUGGGCCUAAAGCAUCCGUAGCCGGCUUUGUAAGUUUUCGGUUAAAUCCAUGUGCUCAACGCAUGGGCUGCCGAAAAUACUGCAUGGCUAGGGAGUGGGAGAGGUAGACGGUACUCAGUAGGAAGGGGUAAAAUCCUUUGAUCUAUUGAUGACCACCUGUGGCGAAGGCGGUCUACCAGAACACGUUCGACGGUGAGGGAUGAAAGCUGGGGGAGCAAACCGGAUUAGAUACCCGGGUAGUCCCAGCUGUAAACGAUGCAGACUCGAUGAUGCAUUGGCAUAAUAGCCAGUGCAGUGUCGCAGGGAAGCCGUUAAGUCUGCCGCCUGGGAAGUACGUACGCAAGUAUGAAACUUAAAGGAAUUGGCGGGGGAGCACCACAAGGGGUGAAGCCUGCGGUCAAU
rnacentral:rRNA from 1 species